rnacentral:rRNA from 1 species
CCUACGGGUGGCAGCAGUGGGGAAUAUUGCACAAUGGGGGAAACCCUGAUGCAGCGACGCCGCGUGAGUGAAGAAGUCAUUCGUUAUGUAAAGCUCUAUUAGCAGGGAAGAAAAUGACGGUACUUGAGUAAGAAGCACCGGCUAACUACGUGCCAGCAGCCGCGGUAAUACGUCGGGGGCAAGCGUUAUCCGGAGUUACUGGGUGUAAAGGGGGCGUAGACGGCAGUGCAAGUCUGAAGUGAAAGGCGGGGGCGCAACCCCCGGACUGCACUUGAAACUGUAAGUCUUGAGUGCAGGAGAGGUAAGUGGAAUUCCUAGUGUAGCGGUGAAAUGCGUAGAUAUUAGGAGGAACACCAGUGGCGAAGGCGGCUUACUGGACUGUAACUGACGUUGAGGCUCGAAAGCGUGGGGAGCAAACAGGAUUAGAUACCCUAGUAGUC